GACGAACGCUGGCGGCGUGCUUAACACAUGCAAGUCGAACGGAAAGGCCCUGCUUUUGUGGGGUGCUCGAGUGGCGAAAGGGUGAGUAAAACGUGAGUAACCUGCCCUUGACUUUGGGAUAACUUCAGGAAACUGGGGCUAAUACCGGAUAGGAGCUCCUUCUGCAUGGUGGGGGUUGGAAAGUUGCGGCGGUUGGGGAUGGACUCGCGGCCUAUCAGCUUGUUGGGGGGGUAGUGGCUUACCAAGGCUUUGACGGGUAGCCGGCCUGCGAGGGUGACCGGCCACAUUGGGACUGAGGUACGGGCCGGACUGCUACGGGAGGCAGGGGUGGGGAAUAGUGCGAGAUGGGCGGAAGCCGGAUGCAGCAACGCCGCGUGCGGGAUGACGGCCGUCGGGUUGUAAACCGCGUUCGCCUGUGACGAAGCGUGAGUGACGGUAAUGGGUAAAGAAGCACCGGCUAACUACGUG
rnacentral:rRNA from 1 species